AUGAACGCUGGCGGCGUGCUUAACACAUGCAAGUCGAACGGGAAACCUUUUAAUGAAGCUUCGGCAGAUUUAGCUGGUUUCUAGUGGCGGACGGGUGAGUAACGCGUGGGUAACCUGCCUUAUACAGGGGGAUAACAGUCAGAAAUGACUGCUAAUACCGCAUAAGCGCACAGGACCGCAUGGUCCGGUGUGAAAAACUCCGGUCGUAUAAGAUGGACCCGCGUUGGAUUAGCUUGUUGGUGGGGUAACGGCUCACCAAGGCGACGAUCCAUAGCCGGCCUGAGAGGGUGAACGGCCACAUUGGGACUGAGACACGGCCCAGACUCCUACGGGAGGCAGCAGUGGGGAAUAUUGCACAAUGGGGGAAACCCUGAUGCAGCGACGCCGCGUGAAGGAAGAAGUAUCUCGGUAUGUAAACUUCUAUCAGCAGGGAAGAUAGUGACGGUACCUGACUAAGAAGCCCCGGCUAACUACGUG
rnacentral:rRNA from 1 species